ACGAACGCUGGCGGUGCGCCUUAUGCAUGCAAGUUGAGCGAAGCUUUUUGGUAGUUUACUACUAGAAAUGACUGAGCGGCGAACGGGUGAGUAACGCGUGAGCAAUCUACCUUAGUUACUGGGAUAGCCCGAGGAAACUCGGAUUAAUACCAGAUAUUCUUAUUUUUUCACAUGAAGUUUUAAGGAAAGGUCAGCCGAACUAAGAUGAGCUCGCGUUCUAUCAGCUAGUUGGUGGGGUAAAAGCCCACCAAGUCUACGAUCUAUAGCUGGUUUGAGAGGAUGAUCAGCAACACUGGGACUGAGACACGGCCCAAACUCCUACGGGAGGCAGCAGUGGGGAAUCUUGC
rnacentral:rRNA from 1 species